rnacentral:rRNA from 1 species
GAUAAGAAGAGAGCGUCUAGGCGAACAAUGUUCUUAAAGUUUGACCUCAAAUCAGGUAGGAGUACCCGCUGAACUUAAGCAUAUCAAUAAGCGGAGGAAAAGAAACCAACCGGGAUUGCCUUAGUAACGGCGAGUGAAGCGGCAAAAGCUCAAAUUUGAAAUCUGGUACCUUCGGUGCCCGAGUUGUAAUUUGGAGAGGGCAACUUUGGGGCCGUUCCUUGUCUAUGUUCCUUGGAACAGGACGUCAUAGAGGGUGAGAAUCCCGUGUGGCGAGGAGUGCGGUUCUUUGUAAAGUGCCUUCGAAGAGUCGAGUUGUUUGGGAAUGCAGCUCUAAGUGGGUGGUAAAUUCCAUCUAAAGCUAAAUAUUGGCGAGAGACCGAUAGCGAACAAGUACAGUGAUGGAAAGAUGAAAAGAACUUUGAAAAGAGAGUGAAAAAGUACGUGAAAUUGUUGAAAGGGAAGGGCAUUUGAUCAGACAUGGUGUUUUGUGCCCUCUGCUCCUUGUGGGUAGGGGAAUCUCGCAUUUCACUGGGCCAGCAUCAGUUUUGGUGGCAGGAUAAAUCCAUAGGAAUGUAGCUUGCCUCGGUAAGUAUUAUAGCCUGUGGGAAUACUGCCAGCUGGGACUGAGGACUGCGACGUAAGUCAAGGAUGCUGGCAUAAUGGUUAUAUGCCGCCCGUCUUGAAACACGGACCAAGGAGUCUAACGUCUAUGCGAGUGUUUGGGUGUAAAACCCAUACGCGUAAUGAAAGUGAACGUAGGUUGGGGCCUCGCAAGAGGUGCACAAUCGACCGAUCCUGAUGUCUUCGGAU